rnacentral:lncRNA from 1 species
UCUGUUAAGAAAAAAAAACUAAGCUUUUUAUUUUCUCUGCAGGUCCAUAUGCUGGCGAGGACUCCGGCCAUCGCUCCGCCUUGGCUCGGUCGCUCCGGCCACCGUGUCGCCUCAGGUAUAAUUUUUUUUAUUUUUUCCCUUGUUUUAUAUAUUUAUUUAAUGAUGCAUGUUGUUUUAAUAAACAUAAAUAAUAUGUGCUAAUAAUGUUCAAAGAAAGAGUAAAAGAAAGGGUAAAAUAAUAAAUAAAAAAACAGUAGAUAGACCUUUAGAUCGGUCUUCGAAAUUCUUUGCUGCAAGUUCGUGUUUUUUAUUUACUAAACCCUUUUAUGUGAAUCUCCUUUUCUUUCUGAAUAAUAAAUAAUAAAUGAAAAAUCCCCCCCUUUUUGAAUAUUGAAAAUCCCUCUUCAAAUACAAUCAGUUUCCCCCCUUCACUACAAUCUGUCCUCUUUCUACAAAGAUGAGAUUUUGGCUUUUUAAAGCCGAUCUACAAAACAUUUCUUUCAUUUUUAUUUUGUUUUUGCUCUUUUGUUUAUUUCUUCCCCCAUCAUUCGCGUGCUUUCUUUUGCCUUUGUAUUUGCUUUCAUUGCAGGUGCUAUGCGACGCGUGGAAGAGGCGACGGUCAGGGGCGUGGUGGCCGAGGUGGCAUGGGCGGUGGUUAGCAUGCGUGGGGUGAGCGGCAGCUGAAGAAAGAGGCUAGGGUUGCUGAAACAAUUUGGGUAGUUGGGCUAGGGUUAGUUUUAGGCCUAUUGGGUCUGGGCUUGUGAAAUUAUUUGUUGGGCUAUUAUAUUUUAUUUGUUUAUGGGCUCGGGCAAUAUUGGGCCUGUACAGCUGCCCCUCUUUGCUCAUUGUCGUGUAACGAGAAUAGAUCAAAGAUUAUAAAAGGACCAAUUUUGCCCGGGCUCGUCGAGUUAUGAGUUCUUGAUCCUUGAUCUUCUUUAAAUGGCUUCUUGACGGCUUCAAUCUGCUUUACUGCAACUCAGGAAUGCGAUAUCUGCUAUCUUUGGUCUGCUCUCCUGUCAACACAGAGACGCCAAACCUGUUAUCUUUAACUUGUUCCCUAUAAACACAGGGAUGCCAAAUCUACUUUUUCGAUUUGUUUUCUGACAAUACAGAGAUGCCAAAUCAUCUUAAAUCUGCUUUAGUGAAAUCAUCUGAAGGUUGGAUCUGCUAUGUAUCUGCUCUCCGUUGAAAUGGAGAUGCCAGAUCUGUUAUCUUGGAUCUACUUUGGUGUGGGAACAUCCGAAAGUCAAAUCUGCUAUGUCUUUGAUUUGUUCCUUGUAAGCACAAGGAUGCCAGAUCCUCUUAGAUCUUGCUUCAGUAUAAACAUCUGAAGGUCAGAUCUGCUAUGUAUCUGCUCUCCAUUGAAGUGGAGAUGCUAGACUUCGAUUUGUUCUCUGAAAAUACAGAGACGACAAAUCAUCUUAGAUUUGUUUCAAAGUAAACACGUGAAAGCCAAAUCAGCUAUGUCUUCGAUUUGUUCCUUGUAAACACAAGGAUGCCAAACCAUCUUGGAUCCGCUUCAGCAUAAACAUCCGAAGGCAAGAUCUGCUAUGUGUCUGCUCUCCAUCAAAGUGAAGAUGCCAUACUUUGAUUCGUUCUCUGACAAUACAGAGACGACAAAUUAUCUUAGAUUGCUUCAUUGUAAGCACGUGAAAGCCAAAUCGGCUAUGUCUUCAAUUUGUUCCUUGUAAGCACAAGGAUGCCAAAUCAUCUUGGAUCUGCUUUAGCCAGAUCUGCUAUGCUACGGCCUAUUACCCUAUUGCAUAGGAUUUAAGGGCCAUCGCAUUUGAUCUGUUUCCCUAUUGCUUAGGGGGUUUUGAUCCGUACAUUCAACCUGUUACCCUACUGCUUAGGGAUUUAAGGGCUGUAAAUUUGGCUUGUUACCCUACUGCUUAGGGGGUUAAUCCCGUCAUCUUCGAUCUGUUUCCCUACUGCUUAGGGGGUUAAGAUCUAUAAAUUCAGUUUGCUCUACUGCGGCUUCAGAGAGAUGAGACUUGCUGGAUUCGAUCUGUUCCACUGUAACUUCAGAGAGACAAGAUCUGUAAUUUUCAGACUAUUACCCUACUGCUUAGGGGUUUAUGGUCUGUUUCGAUCUGUUUCCAUACUGCUUAGGGGGUUAAAAUCUAUAAAUUCAACCUGUUACCCUACUGCUUAGGGGGUUAAGGCUUGGUGAAUUCACUGAUUCUAGGAACAUGACAUGUAGAAUCAGUUUCAUGUAUUUAUGCUUAUGCCAAAGAAUUAGGAUGCUAUGAUCAAAAUGAAUCAAAUGCUCCUAAUUAGAUGCAUUAUGAAUGAUCUUUGAAUGUAUGGGUGCAACAUGUUGUAAGCGUGAAUCCUUUUUAAUGUUUAGAUGGCCAUUGCUCUUUGUUCAUCAAGGUUCUUUCACUGAAAUGGUACUCUAUCUUCUUGUUCAGCUCAAAAUUUGAACAGAAAACCCAAAGAGGCAGUCCCAAUUUAAACUCUUUCUUCUCACAUGCUUCGAAUCUUUGAGUUUGGUUAGUUCUAAAUAAUAGUCCUGUUCUAGGUCCCUAUACUAUUUAGAAACUUUCAGAGUAAUAUGCAGAACUCUUUUUGCGAAAAUGGCUUUUAGUCCAUUAAUCAUCAUUUCAAUGCAAAAUGCUUGAAAAAUAUUAUAAUGAUAGAACUGAAAUUUAUCAGAAACAAAAUUUGAAGGGAGUAGAUUCAUCACGGUCAACAAACAUUGCUGGAAUACAAAAUGAAUAAGAAGGGAAUAGGUGCCCCAGAUAUCGCAGCGUAAGCUUCUCUGUGCUAACUUCUUGAGGACUCUCUUUUUGCCCGACAUGUGUUUAGGGGAUCUAGAGUACCCUUGUAGAUGCCCCAAGACGUAACAUCUCUCUUCCUUGUUAAUUUGGGUAUCAUUAGACCAUCGCAUGCUCCACUUUUGAUCAAAAUUUGAAUCACCCUUUACGGGUUUUCAAUUCAAAAUCCCUUUGGUCCCAAGGUUCUCUUUGCGAGUUUUUACCCUGGCCUCUCCUUUUUUUUUGGGUAAAGUAUUUUUUGACCGAAUCUGAAUUCACAGGAUUGGGUAAAGUCUUGCCAUCCAUUUCGGCCAAUAUCAAUGCUCCUCCCGAAAAGGCUUUCUUUACCACAUAAGGUCCUUCCCAAUUCGGCGUCCAUUUUCCCCUGAAAUCCUUUUGUAUAGGGAGGAUCUUUUUCAAUACUAAGUCUCCCUCGUGGAAUUCUCUAGGACGGACCUUUUUGUUGUAAGCUCACAUCAUUCGCUUUUGGUACAUUUGACCAUGACGGAUAGCCCUUAGCCUCUUUUCUUCAAUCAAAUUCAACUGGUCAUAUCGGGACUAGAUCUAUUCUGCUUCAUCCAACUUUACCUCAGACAAAACUCUGAGGGAAGGGAUCUCGACCUCGAUAGGUAAAACUGCCUCCAUUCCAUAGACCAAUAAGAAAGGCGUUGCUCCGGUGGAAGUCGUGACAGACGUUCGAUAAGCAUAGAGGGCGAAUGGUAGCUUCUCAUGCCAAUCUUUAUAAGUUUCUGUCAUCUUUCCCACGAUCUUCUUGAUGUUCUUAUUGGCUGCUUCGACUACACCGUUCAUCUUCGGGCGAUACGGUGAAGAGUUGUGGUGUCUAAUCUUGAACUGACUGCAGACCUCCGCUAUCGUGCUAUUGUUCAAAUUCAAUGCGUUGUCAGAUAUGAUCCUUUCUGGCAUUCCAUAUAGACAGAUGAUUUCCUUUUUCAGGAACUUGCUACUGCUGAUUUAGUUACAUUGGCAUAUGAAGCGGCCUCCACCCAUUUGGUGAAAUAAUCGAUGACCACAAAGAUGAAAUGAUGCCCAUUUGAAGCUUUUGGCGAAAUUGGCCCAAUCACAUCCAUGCCCCACAUCGAGAAAGGCCAUGGCGAAGUCAUGACAUGCAGAGGUGAGGGAGGUACAUUAAUCUUGUUUCCAUAGAUUUGGCACUUAUGACAUCUUUUGGCAUAGUUAAUACAGUCUCCUUCCAUGGUGGACCAAUAAUAACCGAACCUCAUAAUUUGCCUGGCCAUUGUAAAACCAUUAGCGUGUGUCCCACAGACGCCCUCAUGGACUUCUUCCAAGAUUUUCUUAGCGUCAAUAGCAUCUACACAUCUCAACAGUACUUGAUCCUUCCUUCUUUUGUAUAGGAUCUCCCCGUCUAAGACAUAAUCACUGGCCAGUCUUCUCAACGUCCUUUUGUCAUUCUCAGUAGCUUGGUCGGGGUACUCACGAUUCUUCACAUAUCGCAGGGUAUCGUGGUAUUAAGGGUGAUCAUCAUUUUUUUCUUCUUCUUCGAGGUUGUAGCAAUGAGCCGGAGCUUCAUAAAUGCUCAUUUGGAUUGGUUUCACAUCAUCUUGCUUGUUCACCUUGAUCAUAGAGGCUAAAGUUGCUAGGGCGUCAGCCAUCUGAUUUUCCUCUCGCGGGAGGUAGCAGAAGACAAUAUCAUCAAAUUCUUUAAUUAAUUCAAGGAUCAGCCUUCGAUAAUUGAUCAACUUGGGGUCUCUCGUCUCCCAUUCACCUUUGAGUUGAUAAAUCACUAGGGCAGAAUCUCCAUCUACCUCUAACACCUUGAUUUUACGUUCUAUGGCCGCACAUAUUCCCAUGAUGCAUGCUUCGUAUUCUGCCAUAUUAUUCGUGCAGUCAAAAUCCAAUUUACUAGUGAAGGGAUAAUGAUCUCUGUUCGGGGAUACCAGGACUGCCCCGAUUCUAUUGCCCACGACAUUUGAUGCUCCGUCAAAGUUUAGCUUCCAAGGAUGAUCUUCUUGAGGGUCUUCUUCAGUGGUUGCUAUGUACAUUAGAUCUUCAUUUGGGAAGUUAAAGUUUAGAGGCUCGUAGUCCUCUAGGGCUCUGCUGGCUAGGAAAUCUGCUAUCACACUCCCUUUUACAGCCUUCUGGUUCACAUAGACUAUAUCGAAUUCAGAAAGUAGAAUUUACCAUCGGGCCAUUCUCCCGUUCAAGGCAGUCGACUCCAUCAAGUACUUCAGAGGGUCCAUUUUAGAGACUAGCCAAGUUGUGUGAUACAACAUGUAUUGUCUCAGUCUUCGUCUUCGGGUUGUCCAGAUUAAGGCACAACACAACAUUUCAAUGAACGAGUAUCUCGUCUCACACUCAGUAAACUUUUUACUGAGGUAAUAUAUCGCUCUUUCUUUCCUUCUUGAUUCAUCGCUUUGGCCAAGCACGCAUCCCAUAGAAUUUUCAAAUACCGUCAAAUACAGUAUCAGUGGCUUAUCUGGACUAGGUGGUGUCAACACUGGAGCAUUAGACAAAUAUUGCUUAACUUUGUCGAACGUCUUCUGGCAUUCCUCGUCCCAAACACCAGGGUUGUGUUUUUUAAGGAGACAGAAUAUGGGGUCACAUUUCUCGGUUAGUUGUGAAAUAAACCGAGCGAUGUAAUUUUAUCUUCCUAGGAAUCCCCGAACUUCCUUCUGAGUACGUGGUGGAGGUAGCUCUUGUAUGGCUUUGACUUUAUCUGGGUCAAUCUCAAUCCCUUUUUCUCUGAUUACGAAUCCUAGUAGUUUUCCAGACCUGGCCCUGAAGGUACACUUCGCUGGAUUGAGUUUCAGCUGGAAUUUCCUUAACCUUAAAAAUAAUUUCCUCAAGACUUGUACAUGCACUUCUUCAGUCCAAGAUUUGGCGAUCAUGUCGUCGAUGUAGACUUCAAUUUCUUUAUGCAUCAUAUCAUGAAAUAGGGUUACCAUGGCUCUCUGAUAUAUUGCUCCCGCAUUUUUCAAUCCGAACGGCAUCACCUUAUAGCAAAAGGUUCCCCACAUGGUCACAAAUGUGGUUUUAUUCAUGUCUUCAGGAUGCAUCUUGAUCUGAUUGUACCCCAAGAAACCAUCCAUGAAGGAGAAGAGUGAGUAGCCUGCCGUGUUAUCCACUAAGGUGUCAAUAUGAGGCAACGGGAAAUUAUCCUUUGGGCUAGCUUUGUUUAAGUCUCUGUAGUCUACACACAUCCGUACUUUUCCAUCUUUUUUAGGGACGGGGACGAUGUUGGAUACCCAUUCCGAGUACUUAACUACUUGUAAGAAACUAGCAUCAAAUUGCUUCUUGACCUCCUCUUUUAUUUUCAACAAAACAUCGGGCCGCAUCCUUCGAAGCUUUUGCUGGACUGGUUUGUAUUCUUCUUUGAUGGGGAGCCUGUGUACCACAAUGUUAGUACUUAACCCAGGCAUAUCUUGAUAUGACCAUACGAAGACAUCCUUGAACUCUUGGAGUAACUCAAUAAGGUCCCGCUUUGUCUCUGUGGUAAUGCAAACUCUGAUCUUUACUUCUUUCCUUUCUAGUUCAUCUCCCAAGUUCACGACUUCUACGGUCUCUUUGUGGGGUAGAAUCUGUUUCUCCUCGUGUUUUACCAUCCUUAACAAAUCAGGGGAUAAGUUACAAUCUCCGUCAUCCUUAAAGUCCUGAGAUACCUCUAGACACAUAUCCCGCUCAAAAGAAGACUCUGAAUUAGUAGCAACGUCACUCACAUCAUUGAUAUCUGGAGACCUCUUGUAGGUGUGAAGGAAGAUACAAAGAACAAGAGAAUCUAAGAACAAUGAUAUGUAUAGUAUGAUCAUGAAUGAAAGAAUAAAAGAAUAUUUGCACGGAAUAAGUCAAAAGGAUACAUUUUAUUGAAAUAACGAUUUCGAACAUAAGCCUAUUUCACAAAAGGACACUUAUUACUCCUAGGCCUAGAGCAAUAAGUGUGUUUUGAACAUUACCCUAAGUUAGUUCUAAAGAUUACAGGAAUCUCUUUCGCAGUCUAAUUAUUCAGAACACUUCCCGGCUCAUAGGGGCGAAUGCCUGACAAAUUUUCUACCCCCGUCCCUUCUUCAUAUGUGGCAUUGAUGUCCAAACUCUCCAUCAUUUCUUCCAAGAUUUCCUUUUCCGACGUCUUCCGCUCGGAGUGAAUGACCCCUCCAGACACAAAAGUCUUCGAUAUAUGGGGGAAGAUCAUUGGUUCCCAUUCGAUUUCUCCUCCGCUCAAUCGCGCUCUCCUUCUUUCUUUCUUAUUCUCAAGUUCCUUCUUUCUUUGUUUAAUGUCCGACUUAAACCCUAACCUAAAAUGGUCUUGUUUGUCCUUCAUCAUUGGUACAUUAAUCCUUCCCUGGAGGUAUCUCCCGAGUCCUCUUCCGGGUAGAGCCCCUCUUCCAAUAGUUAGCCGUAGUCCCAUUCUUGUAGUCUUAGAUAACCUGGGCAUUGGAAUCUUAUUUCCUUCGGUGAUGAACGUCGCGUUCACAAACUCCAAAGAUCGAAAAGAGAACUCGAUUGCUUCAUCAUUUGCCUCCAGAUAUGAGGCGUCACUGGUUUUGCCGCGAUGAUGUCCUCUUCAGUAUUGAUCGUUACUAACCGACCUCCGGUCACUAAUUUCAACUUUUGAUGCAGCGAUGAAGGGACUACCCUCGCCGAGUGUAUCCACGGUCUCUCCAAUAGGCAAUUAUACAAAGACUUAAUGUCCAUGACCAAGAAAUCUACCUCGUAUGUGCUUGGCCUGAUUAAGAGGGGUACUUCAAUUCUCCUCAUUACCUUCCUUUCCGUUCCAUCAAAUGCUCUCACUACACUUUGGCAUGUCUUCAUAUGGGAACUAUCCACUGGCAACCUACUCAGCGUAGAUAGGGGUAGGACAUUCAGUGCAGACCCAUUGUCAAUCAAUACCCCCGGUAAUGUGUACCCUUUACAGCGGGUCGUGAUAUGCAAAGCUUUAGUUGAUCCUCGGCCCCCUAGCGGUACCUCAUCGUCAUUGAAGAAUAUGAAGUUGUCGGCACUUAUAUUGUUGACUAAGCAGUCCAGUUUGUUUACAGAGAUAUCGUUAGCAACAUAAGUUUCAUUCAGCACCUUCAUCAAUGCGCUGCGAUGGGUUUCGAAGCUUAAAAGUAAGGCCAGUACCGAUAUACGCGUUGGCUAUUUGUGCAACUGUUUUACGACACUAUAUUCGCUGUGCUUUAGAAAUUUUAAGAAUUCCUUGGCUUCUUUUUCAGUCACUGAUUCGUUAAUAGUUAGUUCAGGCCUCGCCGGCUUCUCUUUCUUUUGCUCAAUUGCUAAUGAUUUUUCUUUAACCUGCUCGGCUUUUGUAUUUGGGGUAUAACGCCUUCCACUGCGCAUAUAAAAACCUUCGUCUUGAACUUCCUCUGAUGCAUUAAUCGGGGUCUCCUCUCCUAGGAAUGUCACAUUAUAGCUAUAGUUCCACGGUACCCUUUUGCUAUCCUUGUAAGGGAAAGCAACGGGCUUCCGAAUUAUGACCUUUGGCGCAACUUGUGCCCUGGCUUCAUUCAUUCUCAGACAUGAUAUGAUAACCACUGGGUGGUUGACUUUGUAAACAUCUUUCAUCGACCCCUCUUCGGAGGCACACACAUCUGCUUCUUCUGGGCUCCCGACAUAUUCGAAGAAUUCCAGCUCGUUAUUAUCCAUCAAUCCUUGUAUUAAAUCCAUAAAUUGGCUGCAUUUCUGAAUCUCGUGAUCCUCUUGAUCGUGGAACUCACAAUAAUUCUUCGCUUCUCGAGGUCUGACCCUUGAAUUUUGUGCUAUCAACCCUCUUUCCACCAUUUUCUUCCAAACUUCCUCCAACGGGGUAUUCACUUCUACAAUACUUAUCUUAAUUUCUUUCCCCAAACUCUCGAUUAUUGUAUUUAUUCUCUUAUCCCCAUGGUUAGGUAAUGGGUUCUCUGUAUUGGAUGCAUCAUCAAAUUUCACAAUCCCCAUGUUGAUGAGUCUUUCAACCAAAUUCUUGAAAGUGGUGUAGUUUUCUAUCGAGUGUCCUGUGGUUCCCGCAUGGUAUUCGCAUUGGGCAUUUUCGUCAUACCAUUUGGGGUAUGGAGGUUGCAUUGGCUUUAGAUAGAAGAGAGACACGACAUGUGCAUCAAAUAAACUCUGGUAUAACUCCUUGUACGUCAUUGGAAUGGGCGUAAAUUGAAGUUUCUCCCUAUUUUGUUUUAUGUUGGGCUCUUGUCUGGAUGGGCCUGCUGUCCAGUAGUUGUCGACCUUGGUUGGCUUACGGUGAUCGAUUUCGAAUAUGAGCUCACAUUAUUUACCUCAUGCUCUUUCUUUCUCGGCGCUGAUCUCUUAGCAUUUUCCCCAGACUCUAUUUUCCCACAUCUUAUGGCAUUUUCUAUUAUUUCUCCAGACAUUACUAUGUUUGAAAAACUCUUGGUUGCGCUACCCAGCAUGUGGUUAAUAAAAGGUGCCUUCAGGGUAUUGAUGAAGAGCAUAGUGUUUCCUUUUCCAACAGAGGGGGUUGGACUUGUGUGGCCACUUCUCUCCAUCGCUGGGCGUACUACCUAAAGCUCUCAUUAUGCUUUUUCUCCAUAUUCUGUAAAGUGAUUCUAUCAGGGGCUAUGUUUGCCACAUGACCGUAUUGCUUCAUGAAGGCUUGUGCUAAAUCUUUCCAUGAACUGAUCUGGGCGCGACUCAGCUGGUUGUACAUCUAGAAGCAGCCCAACCAGACUUUCUUGGAAGCAGUGAAUUAAUAGUUGGUCAUUAUUGACAUGGCCUACCAUUCGUCUGCAGAACAUAGUGAUGUGAGCUUCGGGACAGCUAGUCCCGUUGUAUUUCUCAAAUUCUGGAGUUUUGAACUUGGGAGGGAGUAUCAGGUCCGGAACCAAACUUAAUUCCUUAGCAUCGAUUCCACCACGAUAGUCGGUGCUUUUCAUUUCUUAAAAUUUUUCUUCCAACCAUCUACACAUUUCUUCAAGCUCUCUCGGGAGUUCUACCCUUGUCUUUUCUACUUCUGUUACUUCAUCGAGAUUGAGGACCAUAGGAUUGGUCGGGUUAUCCCCCGGAUUAGAGCCUAAGCCGGCCUGAUAAUUUAUCGGUGCCGAAACAUCAGCCUGAAAUGGUUGGGGCCUAAUUGUGACUGAUAGCCUUCUUGGGUACAUAUCAAGUUGUGUCUGGACGUCCACUGGGGCAAAACCCGGAGGGUAAGUAGGAUCUUCAUUAUCUUCUCCCGCAUUGAUCAAAGGGCUUUUCCCUUUUUCUAAUCCGCCAGCCAAUAGACAAGUUAAUUGGUCCAUCAUGCUUUCCUGGGACUCCAACAUAUGGUCCCUCAUAUCUUGCUGGAUUUUGGCAAGCUGUUCUUGCAUACGUGCUUGUAAUUGAUCCUGCAUCUCUUUUUGCAUUUGUUUCAAUCUCUCUAACCUUUGGUCCAUUACCCUUGUUUUUCCCCUUGUACCGUAACGAUGUUCUAGGGUAACUGCCAUGAUUUUUAGGGUUUCUUGUGAGUUUUAGUGCGUAUGAUGCAAUGCUGAUACAUGAAUGCAAUGAAUGCGAUGAAUGCAAAAAAAAGCGUUGAUUCCAAUUCGAUUUCAUUAGAGUAACUUUUCUAGAAAACAAGUUUCUUUACAUAAAAUAGAUUACAUAUAAGGCUUGGCCCUGAUACUUAAGGGCUUGACCUGCCUAAGAAGCCAAGCUAGCUCUCGUCCUCGGUCCGAUUCUGACUCGUAUUUUAAACUCAGCACAUCGGCUUGUACUGCUAAUAUUUGCAAGUGAUCAGCCACUUCUCGCACUUGAGUCAAAGCUUCGCCCAUGACGUAGUCCCUGCUCGUGACUUGGUCUUGAGAUUGAUGAAGUUGCUCCUUCCAUCGCUCGUUAUUUACCUCAAGGAGUUCUAUCUGAAGUUCACAAUUUUGCAGCGCUGUUUUGAGUUCUUCUAUAUUCUCUUUUAAUUCUUCGAUUCUGUUCUGACUAGCUUUCAACUCGAUUGCAGAGUUACGCGAGCGAUACUAAUACAAUGACCUCUCUAACUCUGAUACCCAGAUCUUUAACCCUUCUUUCUCAUUCUGGCUUUCUACCAAACUUCUUUUCAGUGCACCUUCUCGAGCUUGAGCAUCGCGAAAUUUUUCUUCCCACUGGUUAGCUUUGCUUUGUUCUUCUUUAACUUCAUGUCGCCAUUGUUCGGAUGUUUUUCCUAACCCAGGGGUUAUCAUUGAUCUGCACAGCUUCUUAUAGUCCAUUUUCAAACUGUCUAAGUCCUCUUCAGCCUUGUUUUUCCCUUUUCUGAGUUUUUCAGCUUCUAGUUUUUGGACAUCGACAUCUAACCUUAACUGCAUCUUUUCUUCUUCCAACUGCUCGAUCCUUUUUUCUAGCUCCAGACUCUUUCUCUCGAAAUCUUGCCUGAUGAUUUCUAGCUCAGAUGAGAUUACUUUCAAGUGCUCUUCUAUCGACUGAGAAUUCCCUUGAUCUGAUGUAGGGAUGUUGUCGUUAAAACACUGAUUCCACCAUCGGUUGUACUCAGGAGUAGUCAUGGGAUUGGCAGCAAACUUUUUCAUUCUACGAGUCUGGUUCCAGGCAUUUGAUAUCUCGUGAACUUUCUUUUUGUAAUUAUUCCCUGUGAACACAAACUCGCACUGGGCUAACCCGUAUGUUGGUGGUGUAAACUGUCUGGAUCUGUAUUGUCGCAAUGCAAGUAGAGGAGCAUACCCGACGGCCCCCCAUACUCCUAACAAAGGAACCCAAUCGAAGUCUCUGCAUCGGUAUAAUAUUUCAUCAGGAACCAUCCACGCGGCUCUCCAUUCAACAUCUUCUUCUUGCAGAUUUUGGAGAACUGUCAUCCAAUUUUCUUCUGUCACAUCAUCUUACCUCGGUGUAGCCACUAACUCUUUCAACGAAGAGUAAUUUUCAGAGAAGAUACGAUACGAGACCUUUUCCACUUUCUAAAAAUGGCUAUGGAACCAGGAUAGCAAGAGCUGUACACAUCCAAUAAAUCUCCCUUCACCCACUCUUCUACAAGCAUUUAAUGAUCUGAAAGUUUCAGCCAAGAUUGCGGGUACAGGUGUGGUUCCUUUACCAAGCCUGUCAAAAAGGUCAGCAAUAGCCUCGUCUACAUGCCCCAAAGCUUUGGGGAAGAUAACCAGUCCAUAAAUGCUCAAGGUGAAGACAUCUACCCUUUUCUUCACGUCGGGGUGCGCUAAGACUAGAUCCCUCAGGUUCCUCCAAGGAAUGCAUUUACAAUCUUCUUUUUGCUUGAUCUGGGUUAUCACCCACUGUUCGCUCAUCCCUGUGAUGUUCAUCAGCUUUUUUGAAAAUACUGGGACGUUAGCAGGUCUGGCAUAAAUUCUGUCAACCUGAGUCUUUGGGCAAUGGAGCAAGGUCGUGUAUUCUUCUAUAGUAGGUACCAAAUCUACUUUCCUGAAAGUGAAGCAACUGUAAGCAGAAUUCCAAUAUUGGGCAAGGGCUCGAAACAGGUGUUCAUCUACCUUGACAUCGAGCAGAUAAGGUAAAUCACCGUAAUGACAAUAGAAUAGCUGUUUGACCUCAUCAUCCCACUGACCCCAAAUUUCUUUCAUCUCUUGGAGAUUAUUCUAAGUUACGCUGAUCCGAGUAAAAUUCCAUAACUCUGACACGUGCCCCUCGAUUAGACUGUCACCUUUCUCUUGUUGUGUUGUCUCAGCCCAUAUCCAGACAGCCGCGUUGUCUUCUACUUUAUCAAAAAACACCUUUUCCAUGAUAAGCUAUCUAUUUAGGAACCGAAUGUGAAUCAACAACUUUUAUAAUGAAAAUGCCAUGCAAAUACAAUCAAAGUAAAACAAAGUAAGUCAGUAAUUUAUACACAGUUCAAAGUAAACAAAGAAUAAUAAAUAUAGCACUUGUUGAGGUGACCACUAGGGUUUUAGAGUGGCUCUACGUAGGGCAGGUUUUUAAGGCUCACUACAUGGGGUUUGGUUCUAGAGUAAGGGUACCUGAACUAGCAGAUUCCUCGAUCUUCACCCAUUAUAGGCUCAUACAGACCGAGUUCAGUUUAGGGGAAUACAUUUCCCUAUGGCUGCACGGAGAUGAAAAUCUCACGAAGACAUAGGUACAGAUGUAUCCCGAAAGUGAUCCACUAUCCUGCACGGAGAUGAAAACCUCACGAAGGAGUAGUUUCUCACUCCCACUUAAAGGGGUGUGACCACAGCGGUCAUGCAAUGCAAUAUGCAAAACUAUUUAAAGACUCGAACCAAUACAGCAGGUAUUGUACCACAAAAAUAGCUAAUGAAAUGCAAUGAAAGUAUCGUAUUUCAAAACCAAGUUUUCAAUUUUCGAUAAAAAGACAAGAGUUAAUCAACUUGUGGCUUGACUCUCUCAUUCGUGUCCCCAGUGGAGUCGCCAAGUUAUCGUAACCAUUUUUUGAAAAAAAGGGAAAUCGACUUAGAUUUUGAAAAUGAAAACUAAUAGAGGAGUCGCCACCAAUCCUUUUUUGUUGAGGUGUGAUCGGAUCACUUUAAAUUAGUCAUUUUAAUAAAAGUUAAGAUUUAUCAAAACGAUAAGUUUUGGUCUACGAAAAUCAGAAAAUGAGUUCGGGAGUCGGUUACGCACGAGGAGGGAUUAGCACCCUCGAUACGCCCAAAAUUGGUACCUAGUUGAUUAAUUAGUGUUUUAGUAUCGAAGACUCAAAAACUUGAAAGAAUUUAAAACACAAUCCCUAUUUGUAUGAAUGCUAAUUUAAAAAUGAUCGGAUAAGUUAAAACGGAUGUUAAGGAUCCUCUCGUCUCGAAGUAAUAAAAUGUCACGUCCAGUAAGUUAGGACGUGGCACCUCGAACUUUGAGAAUGAGAUUGCCCCUUUUUUUUUAAAUGCCCGUAUUUUAGCUUAUAAAAAGGGUAUUUGAUUAUUUAGAGUAAACGAGAGAAAUCGAAACCCAGUAAGUUAGGGCAUGUUUUCUCGAAUUCUCAAACAUCGAUUAUUGCCUUUAUUUUAAAAUCAAUUCUUAUUUCGAGGCGACUAAAUGUCAUACCCGGUAAGUUAGGGCACAACGCUUCGUACCUCCGAGAAUAAGCAUUUUUCAAAACUCGUAUAACGAUUUUAAAGAGUAUUCCGUUAUUUAGGUUAAAUGAGAAAGAUCGAAGCCCAGUAAGUUAGGGCACGAUUGUCUCGAAUUACCAAAUGCGAAAUAUCACUUUUAUGAAAGAACUGAGUAAAACUUAAUUUGAUUUAUAGAUUAUGUCGUUACUUAGAUUAAACGAGAAAAUCCGAAACCCAUUAAGUUAGGGCACGAUUUUCUCGAAUCGUCUAAAUACGAAACUUGUUUUAUUUUAGAAAACACAAUUAUGUGCAUCGAGUAAAUGAUCAACGUAAUCAUUAUCACAUGGUGAAAUGAGAAACGAAUCGCAGGAUUAACAUGCAUAAUAAUAAUACAAAGGUGGUGAUAUAAACAAUAAUAAUGACGAAUAAUGUAAAUUUGCAGAAUUACUGAGACACAUAUGAAUAAACGGACAAACAUUAUGCCUAAAACGUAAUAAUAGCGAAAAUAUGAAUGAAUAAGAAACACAAAUAACUAAGUAAUGAGAAAAUAAGUAAAGAUAAAAAUAAUAACAAUAAUAAUGAUAAUAAAUAUAGUAAUGAUAAUAGUAAGAAUAUAAUGUAUAGUAUUAGAGGUAAAUACAUAAUACAUACAUAUUAGACACAAUCUUAAUAUAAAAAAACAACCAUUAAUAACUAUAUAAAUAAAUAUAUGGUAGUAAUAUAUACAUGAUAUAGCUAAAAAAACAUAAACAUAAGAUAAUAUGAGAAAUAAAAAAAAUAUAAAUGAUAUAAUAUUAAGGUAUAUGUAUAACAAUAAAAAUACAAUAUUAAAAGAUAUAUACACGUAAUAUAUAAAAAAAUGUAUUCGCAUUAAAAUAUAUAUACGUAAUAAAAAUGCAAUAUUCGGAAUAUUUACAUAGUAUAUACAUGCUAAAAAUGAAAAUAAUGUUUAAAAAUAAAUAUUAAUGAUAUUACCUCGAUAUAUACAUAUAUGUUAAAAUGAGUACAUGAUAAUAUUAAAAGUAUGUACACAAUAUGCAUAAUAUAUUAAAAAAAUAUAUAUAUACAUAUAAUAUUUAUAAAAAUAUAUACAUAAUAUACAUAAAGUAUACAUAUAUACAUAUAUAUAAUACUUAAAAGGAACAAAUAUACAUAAUAAUGCUAAUACAUAUAUGCGUAGUGCAAUGUAUAUACAUCAAAUGAAUAUAUAUAACAUAAAAAUACAUUAAUAAAAAACAAUAAUAUUAAACUAUUAAUAAUACUGUAUAACAUAUAUACAUAAGUAUUAAAUAAAGGUGGGACGAAAUUGGGUUGAAAGCAGAAUCUUAGAGGCAAAUUUUAAAAUAAAUAAAAGGGGAAGGGGACUGAUUUGAACAAGCGAGCAAUCAGGAAGGCCUAAAGGACUAAAUAGUCCAACCUUUCCAGACGACGCCGUUCAAAUGUCUCUCCUUCAAACGGUCAGAGGAUUAAAUUAAAACAGAAUUAAAAUUUCAAAGCUAAAUUUAAAAACAUGAAAAGACCUGAUUAAAAUAGAAAAAAUUGCGAAAGGACCGCAUAUGCAAUUGUCCCAACUAUCAAAAACGCGCGGACCCUUCUGUGGAGCAAGUCGGUUUUGGGUCAGGUAGGGCGAAACGGCGUCGUUUUGGGGCUUAUGGGUGCCGACCAAAACGACGUCGUUUUAUAACAUCUAUAUAAGUUAAAAAAUCAGCCUUUUAAAUCAUUUCUACUGUCUGUUAAGAAAAAAAAACUAAGCUUUUUAUUUUCUCUGCAGGUCCAUAUGCUGGCGAGGACUCCGGCCUCGCUCCGGCCACCGUGUCGCCUCAGGUAUAAUUUUUUUUUAUUUUUUCCCUUGUUUUAUAUAUUUAUUUAAUGAUGCAUGUUGUUUUAAUAAACAUAAAUAAUAUGUGCUAAUAAUGUUCAAAGAAAGAGUAAAAGAAAGGGUAAAAUAAUAAAUAAAAAAAAUAGUAGAUAGACCUUUAGAUCGGUCUUCGAAAUUCUUUGCUGCAAGUUUGUGUUUUUUAUUUACUAAACCCUUUGAUGUGAAUCUCCUUUUCUUUCUGAAAAAAAUGAAAAAUCCCCCCUUUUUGAAUAUUGAAAAUCCCUUCUCAAAUACAAUCAGUUUCCCCCCCUUCAGUACAAUCUAUCCUCUUUCUACAAAGAUGAGAUUUUGGCUUUUUAAAGCCGAUCUACAAAACAUUUCUUUCAUUUUUAUUUUGUUUUUGCUCUUUUGUUUAUUUCUUCCCCCAUCAUUCACGUGCUUUCUUUUUUCUUUGUAUUUGCUUUCAUUGCAGGUGCUAUGCGACGCGUGGAAGAGGCGACGGUCAGGGGCGUGGUGGCCGAGGUGGCAUGCGCGGUGGUUAGCAUGCGUGGGGUGAGCGGCGGCUGAAGAAAGAGGCUAGGGUUGCUGAAACAAUUUGGGUAGUUGGGCUAGGGUUAGUUUUAGGCUAUUGGGUCUGGGCUUGUGAAAUUAUUUGUUGGGCUAUUAUAUUUUAUUUGUUUAUGGACUUGGGCAAUAUUGGGCCUGUACAACUGGCAUUUUAGAGGAUCAAUAUUUGGUAUUGAAAUGUACUUAAUGUUGAAAAAAUUGAGAUAUUUCAAAAGAAUCAAUUCUCACAUUCCUAAAUAAUUUUUUUGUGACACUUGUUUAUAAGUCAUAUUACUUCAUUGGACUAGUAAGAACCAAGUUGAGAAGGUGGAUUUGUACAUUGGGCCUAAAAGCAUAGUUUAAUGUAUAUAUGAGCUCUUUUAUUUUUGGAAUUAUUUUCUAUCGAAAUUUUGAGAGUAUAAGAAAAUUGAACUUCUUAACUUGUAACACAUAUAUUUAGCUAAGUUUAAAAUAGCUUAAUCAAUAGAAGCUAUUUUUA